GGACUUCGUACUUCCUCAAUUAUAAAAGAAACAUUUUAGUCUUCGGCAGAAUUUUUCACAACUUUACAGCUGAAAUAAAACUUACUGCUCUGGUUCGUCCAAGAAAUAGUCUAACACAGAGAGAGCUGCAUAUAUGCGAUUCCUACUCUUAGACUUGUGCAAAAGAUAUGAUUUCAAGAUAAACUUUUCAAGAGAAAUUAGCCUACAAGUGUGUGAUGCAUCCAGGAAAACAUGGAAAAUUGAUAUGCAACUGCACAAAAAUUGCAUAGAUGUCUGUAAAAAAAAUGAAGCUUAGAUGAAUGCAUUUAACUGUUAAAUCUAUGGCAGUUACAAAUGCAUUGAAUUAUCAUCCACAAAAGAAAAUGGAUAUUAUCCUCCAGUAUCCACUCUGAAGGUAAAGGCAAAAUAUGAUGAGACAUAGUCAAGUUUCUUGUGAGCAAUUAUGGAUGGAGAUGGUGAUCGUUUGAUUUACCCUUACUAAAGAUGCGCCAUUAUUAGUCAGAAUGAAUGGGAAUAUGCUCUAUUCAACUUCUUAUUGCACAAAUAUGAAUAGAAAGCAUUCUAUGCGUAUAAUUAGAAGAAUGGAAUGGAUUGUUAUUCAUAAAAGAAACAAGAAAUUACCCACUAAUAUCUAUUCUGAAGGCAAAGAAAAAAAAAGGGGGGGGGAAUGGGUUCUAGCCUGCAAGCAUGGAAACUAACCAAUAAUAAAGUGCAAGAUGGAAUUUAACCGAGAAUGAAGUACAAGAUGGUUUAGUUUAGUUUAGUUAUAUUAACGUCCCGUUUGAAGCAACACUAGGGCUAUUUUGGGACGGACCUCGUCAUUUUGAACCGCGGUCAGAUGACGAGGACGACACCUGAGCUGGCACCUCCCUCUCCACACCACAUCACACCACACCAGCGGGAAGACGUUUAGGCAGGACGUAUUUAACGUGCAACAGACCCCCUUACACGACGGUUCUUCGGUGGAAUCGGGUCUCGAACCUGAAACCCUCCGGUUCCGUAGCCGAGGCCUUACCACCAGGCCACCGAGGCCUAAAAGUAUGAGAUGGAAAUUAGUCAAGAAUAAAGUGCAUAGAUAAAAACUUCAACCCUAAUCAUUGAUUCCUUAAUGCAUGCUUCUUGAUGAGCAAGAAAAGAAAGGUUUAAAGACCAGUGAAAAUAACACUAUGGUCCAACACGUUGAUUGAAUUAAGUAAACCAGUAAAACGAGCAGGAAAUAAGUUGAUCAUCAUUAAAUAAUGUAAAUAACAUAGCUAUUUUACAAAAAACAAGUCAAAUGUCUCAGAUAAAAUCAUUUAUAUAUUGAUAUACAAAAUACAGCUCUGUAAUUCUUAUGAUUUUUAUAUCUGUAGAAUAAGUUUUAAUUAUUUGUUAUAGAUUUAAUUAAUAGUUUCAA